UCUUCUUCACCGGUCACAGCCACUUGCCUCAUCGUUCUCAUUCUUUCUUCUCAUCUUUCUCGUCCUCUUGGAACAUAACAUCUUAUUCCUCCUACUCUUCUUCUUCUUCUUCAUGAUUGCUGACAAGUGGCAGACAUUUGCAUGUGAAAGGACUUUGUUGAGCAUCAAAGAGAGAUUAUCUCGCAACGGUCGUGUCGCCCAACACUCACAAGCCCCUCCAUCUACGUGCGAAGGACAAGCAUCGCGCCAUCAAAGGGGAGGGUGGAACUGAAAAGUAAGGUGAGGCUGAGGUGGCGAUUUGUGGGGUUAGUGGAGCAGAUGGUAAUGUUCCUGAUCACUCAGCUGGUGUCAAGACAAUCAGUAUGAUGAAUCCUUUACUGAUAUAGAACAGCUUGGUCUUGCUUCAGCUGAAUAUCCAAUUCUUUCCGAGUUUCAUACUUUAUUUCAUACUUUAUUUGAUUCUUUGUCUGGUGAUUUUCCUGUUCCCACAUCUGGAGGAGAGAGAGUAAAAAAUUCUUGUCUGGAUAUGGUUGAUUUUUAUGAAGAUUUUUAUGGUUUUCGGGUGCUAAAAUCUCAUGUAUCUGACCUUAACAGAAUAUACUGCAUUGAGGGAAAAUUUUGGGAGAAUUGCAGGUUUCAGAGAGCUAAUACAAUAGCAGUAGUGCUGGGAGAACUUGGUUCUGCACUGUCAUUGAAGGAAAAAACUUGGAUGUCAAUGACUCCUGAUGAGUUAACAACCAUAAUCCAAAGCGUUGAGGAUGCUUUGAAAGCUGGAUUCAAAUUGGAUUGUCUAAAGCCUGUCGUAGAGAAAGCUAAAAAGGUGUUGUGUUCUUUCAACAUUCGUUGCCGGUUGGAGGCAUUACAGAAGGAAAAAAGUUCUCUAGAAACUCAACUUCAGACUGUAAUUUCUCAAUUACAAUCUCUUGAACUAGAUCGAACGCCUAAGGACUUGAUUUAGAAUGUAGAUGUUUAGCUAGUAUCUUGAUCUAUGCAUCAGAUGAGGUCAGGAGAAUGAAAUCCAGAUCAGGCUAAUACAAUGGCUGAUCACCUUCCUCUUUAUUAGAAAAUAAUAAAAGGAAAUGCCAAUAUGUAAUUCUAUUGUUAUUACACAAGUUACUUGACAAAGACUUUCCAUUUCAUCCUUACCAAUAACAAAUUAAAUUUGACUGGAAUAUGCCUAAUUGUUCCAUUUUCACAUCUUUGA